rnacentral:rRNA from 1 species
CGGGUGCACUGAUCCGGCCGGGCCUUUCCCUCUGUGGAACCCCAUGGCCUUCACUGGCUGUGCGGGGGAAACAGGACUUUUACUGUGAAAAAAUUAGAGUGCUCCAGGCAGGCCUAUGCUCGAAUACAUUAGCAUGGAAUAAUAGAAUAGGACGCGUGGUUCUAUUUUGUUGGUUUCUAGGACCGCCGUAAUGAUUAAUAGGGACAGUCGGGGGCAUCAGUAUUCAAUUGUCAGAGGUGAAAUUCUUGGAUCUAUUGAAGACUAACUACUGCGAAAGCAUUUGCCAAGGAUGUUUUCAUUGAUAAGGAACGAAAGUUAGGGGAUCGAAGACGAUCAGAUACCGUCGUAGUCUUAACUAUAAACUAUGCCGACUAGGGAUCGGACGAUGUUAUUUCUUGACGCGUUCGGCACCUUUCGAGAAAUCAAAGUGCUUGGGCUCCAGGGGAGUAUGGUCGCAAGGCUGAAACUUAAAGAAAUUGACGGAAGGGCACCACCAGGGGUGGAACCUGCGGCUUAAUUUGACUCAACACGGGGAAACUCACCAGGUCCAGACACAGUGAGGAUUGACAGAUUGAGAGCUCUUUCUUGAUUCUGUGGGUGGUGGUGCAUGGCCGUUCUUAGUUGGUGGAGUGAUUUGUCUGCUUAAUUGCGAUAACGAACGAGACCUUAACCUGCUAAAUAGCCCGUACUGCUCUGGCAGUUCGCCGGCUUCUUAGAGGGACUAUCGG